rnacentral:rRNA from 1 species
GUCGAGCGGUAAGGCCUCUUCGGAGGUACACGAGCGGCGGACGGCUGAGUAACACGUAGGAACGUACCCCAAACUGAGGGAUAAGCACCAGAAAUGGUGUCUAAUACCGCAUGUGCUCUAAGGAGUAAGGCUUCGGCGGUUUGGGAACGGCCUGCGUCCGAUUAGCUUGUUGGUGAGGUAAUAGCUCACCAAGGCGACGAUCGGUAGCUGGUCUGAGAGGAUGAUCAGCCAGACUGGGACUGAGAACGGCCCAGACUCCUACGGGAGGCAGCAGUAGGGAAUUUUCCACAAUGGGCGAAAGCCUGAUGGAGCAACGCCGCGUGCAGGAUGAAUGCCUUAGGGUUGUAAACUGCUUUUAUCUGUGACGAAUAUGACGGUAGCAGAUGAAUAAGGAUCGGCUAACUCCGUGCCAGCAGCCGCGGUCAUACGGAGGAUCCAAGCGUUAUCCGGAAUUACUGGGCGUAAAGAGUUGCGUAGGUGGCAUUGUGUGUCGGUAGUGAAAGCGUGUGGCUCAACCAUAUAUACAUUAUCGAAACUGC